rnacentral:rRNA from 1 species
GCCUAACACAUGCAAGUCGAGCGGUAACAGAUAGAAAGCUUGCUUUCUUUGCUGACGAGCGGCGGACGGGUGAGUAAUGCCUGGGAAUAUGCCUUGAUGUGGGGGAUAACCAUUGGAAACGAUGGCUAAUACCGCAUAAUGCCUACGGGCCAAAGAGGGGGAUCUUCGGACCUCUCGCGUCAAGAUUAGCCCAGGUGGGAUUAGCUAGUUGGUGAGGUAAUGGCUCACCAAGGCGACGAUCCCUAGCUGGUCUGAGAGGAUGAUCAGCCACACUGGAACUGAGACACGGUCCAGACUCCUACGGGAGGCAGCAGUGGGGAAUAUUGCACAAUGGGCGCAAGCCUGAUGCAGCCAUGCCGCGUGUGUGAAGAAGGCCUUCGGGUUGUAAAGCACUUUCAGUCGUGAGGAAGGUAGUUGCGUUAAUAGCGUAAUUAUUUGACGUUAGCGACAGAAGAAGCACCGGCUAACUCCGUGCCAGCAGCCGCGGUAAUACGGAGGGUGCGAGCGUUAAUCGGAAUUACUGGGCGUAAAGCGCAUGCAGGUGGUUUGUUAAGUCAGAUGUGAAAGCCCGGGGCUCAACCUCGGAAUUGCAUUUGAAACUGGCAGACUAGAGUACUGUAGAGGGGGGUAGAAUUUCAGGUGUAGCGGUGAAAUGCGUAGAGAUCUGAAGGAAUACCGGUGGCGAAGGCGGCCCCCUGGACAGAUACUGACACUCAGAUGCGAAAGCGUGGGGAGCAAACAGGAUUAGAUACCCUGGUAGUCCACGCCGUAAACGAUGUCUACUUGGAGGUUGUGGCCUUGAGCCGUGGCUUUCGGAGCUAACGCGUUAAGUAGACCGCCUGGGGAGUACGGUCGCAAGAUUAAAACUCAAAUGAAUUGACGGGGGCCCGCACAAGCGGUGGAGCAUGUGGUUUAAUUCGAUGCAACGCGAAGAACCUUACCUACUCUUGACAUCCAGAGAAGCCAGCGGAGACGCAGGUGUGCCUUCGGGAACUCUGAGACAGGUGCUGCAUGGCUGUCGUCAGCUCGUGUUGUGAAAUGUUGGGUUAAGUCCCGCAACGAGCGCAACCCUUAUCCUUGUUUGCCAGCGAGUAAUGUCGGGAACUCCAGGGAGACUGCCGGUGAUAAACCGGAGGAAGGUGGGGACGACGUCAAGUCAUCAUGGCCCUUACGAGUAGGGCUACACACGUGCUACAAUGGCGCAUACAGAGGGCUGCCAACCAGCGAUGGUGAGCGAAUCCCAAAAAGUGCGUCGUAGUCCGGAUUGGAGUCUGCAACUCGACUCCAUGAAGUCGGAAUCGCUAGUAAUCGUGGAUCAGAAUGCCACGGUGAAUACGUUCCCGGGCCUUGUACACACCGCCCGUCACACCAUGGGAGUGGGCUGCAAAAGAAGUGGGUAGUUUAACCUUUCGAGGAGGACGCU